GACGAACGCUGGCGGCGUGCCUAACACAUGCAAGUCGAGCGAGAGACUUCGGUCUCUAGCGGCGGACGGGUGAGUAACACGUGGGUAACCUGCCUCAUAGAGGGGGAUAGACUCCCGAAAGGGAGAUUAAUACCGCAUAAUAUGGAUUAGUCGCAUGAUUGAUUCAUUAAAGGAGUAAUCCGCUAUGAGAUGGACCCGCGGCGCAUUAGCUCGUUGGAGAGGUAAAGGCUCACCAAGGCGACGAUGCGUAGCCGACCUGAGAGGGUGAUCGGACACAUUGGAACUGAGACACGGUCCAGACUCCUACGGGAGGCAGCAGUGGGGAAUAUUGCACAAUGGGGGAAACCCUGAUGCAGCAACGCCGCGUGAGUGAUGAAGGCCUUCGGGUUGUAAAGCUCUGUCAUUGGGGACGAUAAUGACGGUACCCAAUGAGGAAGCCACGGCUAACUACGUGCCAGCCGCCGCUGUAACAC
rnacentral:rRNA from 1 species